rnacentral:rRNA from 1 species
UUAGGCGGCCUAGCGCAGGGGGCCCACCUCUUCCCAUCCCGAACAGAGAAGUUAAGCCCUGCAGCGCCGAUGGUACUGGGGUCACACCCGGGAGAGUAGGUCGCCGCCACAU